rnacentral:rRNA from 1 species
UGGCGCACGGGUGAGUAACGCGUGGGUAAUCUGCCUCCGAAUCGGGGAGGACAGUGCGAAAGCGAUGCUAAUACCGGAUAAAAUCUGGUUGGCUUCGGUGAACCGGAUCAAAGGUGGUCUCUUUAUAAAAGCUACCGUUUGGAGAUGAGCUCGCGUACCAUUAGCUAGUUGGUGAGGUAAAGGCUCACCAAGGCGACGAUGGUUAGCUGGUCUGAGAGGAUGAUCAGCCACACCGGAACUGGAACACGGUCCGGACUCCUACGGGAGGCAGCAGUGAGGAAUUUUGCGCAAUGGGGGAAACCCUGACGCAGCAACGCCGCGUGAGUGAUGAAGGCUUUCGGGUCGUAAAGCUCUGUCGGGUGGGAAGAACCCACCAAGUGUUAAGACCACUUGGUGCUGACGGUACCACCGAAGGAAGCACCGGCUAACUCCGUGCCAGCAGCCGCGGUAAUACGGGGGGUGCGAGCGUUAUUCGGAAUCAUUGGGCGUAAAGGGCGCGCAGGCGGUUUUGUAAGUCAGAUGUGAAAUCCCGGGGCUUAACCCCGGAAGUGCAUAUGAAACUAUGAGACUUGAGUAUGGGAGAGGGAAGCGGAAUUCCUGGUGUAGCGGUGAAAUGCGUAGAUAUCAGGAGGAACACCGGUGGCGAAGGCGGCUUCCUGGACCAAUACUGACGCUGAGGCGCGAAGGCGUGGGGAGCGAACAGGAUUAGAUACCCUGGUAGUCCACGCAGUUAACGUUGAUCACUAGGUGUAGCGGGUAUUGACCCCUGCUGUGCCGGAGU